CUCAUACCUGCACACCCAGUCGACACACUCUCACUGACACUGGAAUUAUAGUAUUACCUACACAAGACCCACUACUCCUCCUGAUGAACAGAAUCCCAAGUUAAUUUCAAUGCCGAUUGGAAAGAAGGAGAACCAAACAACUUCUUCAAUAAUGAAGACUGCAUCCAGGUGGACAGAACCGGCCUGUGGAAUGAUUACCCAUGUACAGCCUUGCUAUCUGCCGGCGUCUGCAAAAAGGCUGGUAUGUUAUUCGCAAUAGUUAAGGGAG